rnacentral:rRNA from 1 species
AUAAAAGUGGGAGGCCGAUAGGGAACAAGUACAGUGAGGGAAAGAUGAAAAGAAGUCUGAAUAGAGACCUAAAGAGUUCCUGAAACUGGUGAAAGGGAAGCGAUUCGUAUCCAGUGUAUAUAAUCCGCAACAUAUUACAAUAAUGUGUUUUAAAUUUAAGUGUGUAGGUAGUAGCCUUGGUUGCACCUUGCCUGGAUUGGUUGAGACAUAUCGAAUGUCCAAGUGUUGUGGUGAGAAGUCAAAGUCAGUUUGUAAGUGGCAGGAAAUGAUUGACGAGGAAGAUAGGUUUGCUGCUUGCAGCGUUCCAUUAUAUCCUUAUCGAUGUCUGCUGUGACGGAGACUGAGGUGUCUUUAACAUGCUCUCGAGUCUAUUAGACAUUCACUUGGUUGAGUGCGUAGAUAGCUUGUUAUGUACGUGUUCAUACAGGGUGAUUGUGUCUGGUAGUAACUUGU